rfam:Loxodonta africana unplaced genomic scaffold scaffold_47, whole genome shotgun sequence.
ACAUUGAUGGUUCAGUGGUAGAAUUCUCACCUUCCAUUCAGGAGACCCAGGUUUGAUUCCUGGCCGGUGCA